AGUGAACGUUGGCGGCGUGGAUUAGGCAUGCGAGUCGAGCGAGAACUGUAGCAAUACGGGGACAGCGGCGAAAGGGACAGUAAUAUGUAGGUACCUACCCUCGGGUCCGGGAUAGCUGCGGGAAACUGCAGGUAAUACCGGAUGACAUCUCCGGAUCAAAGGUGUGAUUCCGCCCGGGGAGGGGCCUGCAUCCUAUUAGCUUGUUGGCGGGGUAACGGCCCACCAAGGCAACGAUGGGUAGCGGGUGUGAGAGCACGACCCGCGUCAUUGGGACUGAGACACUGCCCAGACACCUACGGGUGGCUGCAGUCGAGAAUCUUCGGCAAUGGGGGAAACCCUGACCGAGCGACGCCGCGUGCGGGAUGAGGGCCUUCGGGUUGUAAACCGCUGUCGUAGAGGAGGAAAUGCAGGGGGGUUCUCCCCUCUGUUUGACCUAGUCUAGGAGGAAGGACGGGCUAAGUUCGUGCCAGCCGCCGCGGUAAGAC
rnacentral:rRNA from 1 species